CAUUGCGGGGACCGCAACACCCGAUCCCAUCCCGAACUCGGCCGUGAAACGCCCCAGCGCCAAUGGUACUGCGUCUCAAGACGUGGGAGAGUAGGUCGCCGCCAGGC
rnacentral:rRNA from 1 species